rnacentral:rRNA from 1 species
CUUGUUGGGAAAGUGUUUAGUGGCAUGGGAUGGGGUCGCGUCCUAUCGAGCUUGUAGGCGGGUAAUGGCCCACCUAGGCUUCGACGGUAGCCGGCCUGAGAGGGCGGACGGCCACAUUGGGACUGAGAUACGGCCCAGACUCCUACGGGAGGCAGCAGUGGGGAAUAUUGCGCAAUGGGGGAAACCCUGACGCAGCGACGCCGCGUGCGGGAUGAAGGCCUUCGGGUUGUAAACCGCUUUUGAUUGGGAGCAAGCUUUCGGGUGAGUGUACCUUUCGAAUAAGCGCCGGGCUAACUACGUGCCAGCAGCCGCGGUAAAU